CACGUAGGGCGCGAGCGUUGUCCGGAAUUAUUGGGCGUAAAGAGCUCGUAGGCGGCCUGUUGCGUCCGCUGUGAAAGCCCGGGGCUUAACCCCGGGUCUGCAGUGGAUACGGGCAGGCUAGAGGUAGGUAGGGGAGAAUGGAAUUCCCGGUGUAGCGGUGAAAUGCGCAGAUAUCGGGAGGAACACCGGUGGCGAAGGCGGUUCUCUGGGCCUUACCUGAUGCUGAGGAGCGAAAGCGUGGGGAGCGAACAGG
rnacentral:rRNA from 1 species